UCUUCCACGUGAAACCCUACCCAAUCCCCGUCGCCGCCGCUCUGCUCGUCUCUCCCCAAUCCCACCUCUCUCCUCUCGCGUCCCCUGCUCUUCCCACGUCCGCCGGCAUGUGGCGAGGCUGCGAUGACCAACACCGAGCAGCGGCAACGGCAGUCCGUGGUCGCCCUCCACGGGAGCAGCGGUAGGGUUCGUGGUGGGUUUGUGAGGAGCAGGACGGGCCUGGGCGGGGCUCAACAGCGCGAGGAAUCGCCGGAGGCGGCCGGCGAGGGAGGCGGCGCGAAGGGAGGGAGGGCUUGCGAGGGAGGCGGCGCGAAGGGAGGGAGGGAGGAGGCGGCCGGCGAGGGAGGCGGCGCGAAGCCACGAGCCCUACAUCGACGUCCUCGCUGCGGCCAAGAAGCGGCAGAUGGGUCGGCGAUGGAGGCGACGUGAAGGUAGGGAGGUCUUCCGCGGCGGAUGAGCAGUGGACAAGAUUUAUAUGCCUUUCAUCAGGCUGCAAUUGUCGCUGCUGAAGACAUGGAGAGAAGCACCGGAUCAGAGCUUUGGGAUACUUUAUAGGCUGUAUGUUCUUCCUUUACCAGGUUACACACCGCUCUACAUAGGAUCUGGAUGGUACACCAGGAGAUUGAGUUGUGCAUCUAAUGAGAUCAUCAUAUGAAGUAAGGCUGUAAAGUGGGGACUUUAUUGAUCAGAAAGGAUUACAUAACGAUCGAUGUAUACCAACUGAAGGGGAUCUUCAGGUUAUGGUUGGUGGAAUAUAAAGGACGGAUCUUAUGUCUAAGAAUAUUUACAAAUCUCAACAAUCUGGGCAAGUUCAUGUAGCUCUAAAUUGCAAGGUUAUGGUUGUUGCAAAUCCAGCAAACACCAGUGCUCUUAUAUUGACGGAGUAUUCUCUAUCUAUCCUUGGGAAGAAAUAACGGAUAUUUGACUCUCCUAGACCAGAACAAGCUAGGCCAUAAAAGACAAAAGUUUGAGCAAUCAAUUGGGUGUCUGUUCUGACUAAUCAAGAUGUGCGACAUAAUCAUCGUCAGAUCUCAGGUGACAAAUCUUUCUUUUGUGAAACAUGUUUUUGUCAUGGGGUAUCUCUGUUCUAAUCCAAUUGCAUCAUGUAUUCUAAAUGCAUCGAGUAUGGAGCCUCUAAAAAAAUUAUGCCAUCUCUUUUCGGAUAAUUGAUUCUGUAGUCGUGCCUAUGUUUUGCUACAGCUGUAGUUCCAAAUUUGGAUCACAUAUUCAGCUAUCACCUUCCAAUUUUAUCUCAUCAUCUUCUAGCAAGUUAGCUCCCAGUUCUGCCGCACUUGGUGAAAAUCUCAUAUACAAAAGUCAGUUUAUGCCAAGAUACUCUGAAGACCGUGUUCCUUCCUUUUGUAGUUGGCAUAUGGAUUUUUUUUAACCGAGCUGUCAUGUAGAAAUGAAUUAACCAAACAUUGUUGUGUCAAUGCUCCUGCCCAUCUUAUGUGGAUGUUUCAUAUCAUGUUCGUUGUAUGUGAAUGCCUUUUGAGUUGCUAAGUUAUGUAAUUAAAUCUACCCUUUUGUACCUUGCCCAUGAAACUGACUAUUGCAAACUCCAGUGUGGAUAUUGCAGCCAUGGCAAAAGAAAUAUUUAUUGUGUUAGGUUUGUGUUCGUUCAUCUAUCUAUCUUAGAAAGGUGGCUAUUUUUGAUGCAAGUCAACUGUCAAUGAUGUCCCCUGUGGAUUGUGCAUUGUGCUAGAUCUGUCUUAGAAAGGUAAUGCUACACAAUAUCUUUGUGAUGUGAUAAACCAGUUCAUCUAUUUAGAUCUUAUUGUUGUGAUUUUUAUUCAGCAUAUGCCUCUUCAUCCGAAUAUCAACAAUCGGCCAGUUGUUGCUUUCUUCGUGCCAUUUGGAUUAUAUUUGUGUGAUUAACAAAAUUAAGAAAUGCAUCUGUUAUAUAUUGGGUCUCAGAUUUCAGUCUCCUUUGGAAUCCAAAUAUUUGAUUACCCAAUUAUGUUUGUUACUCUUCUAACAGGUUCUAGAACAAUCACUUAUAUAUGGAAUGAAUGAUUGUUUUGGGUUUCUUUAAUUAUAAGUAAUAGCAUCAGUAGGCCUAAAUCCACCCCAGGAAUCAUCAGAAUUGGUUAUCCAAUUUCUCAACAGUUAUCAGAGACAUUGAAGAGGGCUGCUUGUACACGUAUUUCUCAUAUGUGUUUGCUGGAACUAUUUGGUAUACAAUUAUGAGCAUCGAUGCCGAUUAUAAUUAUUUCUAGGCCAACUUCAGCAACAAAUGUUCAAAACUUGAAUACAUGCUCCAGCAUCAGCUUCAUAUGUGUGUUGUAGGUUCUCUGAAAAAACUUAUUUCAUAGAAGACAUCAUAACUUGCUCUGAUUGACAAUAUCACACGAACCAAUCAGAAGAAUAGUUAUGUUAUCGAUUGGACAAAGUAUCUUCCUGGAAUACGGCGUCAUACCUGCCUCGCCCUCGCCUAUAUAAGCGUCCAUUAUUCUGUUUGUGGUUUCAUGUUCUUGUGAUUCUAAUUUAGAUAUAGCCACAACUUAUUGUAAAACCUAAGAAAUAUAUUAUCAUAUUAGCAGUUAAUUUUCAUCAUUAUUUUAUAAAAAACAUAGGCACACUCUUCACAGGAUCGUGCGCCAAGGUGCACCCUAAAUCUAUAUUUUUCUCUUUGUUUUUGAUUUGCACGAAAGCAUAUAAGGCAUAGAUCUUAUGCUUUUUACUAUAUUAUGGUUCUCCUUAGCCUUUUGAAUCUAAUUGUAUAUUUAUAUGUUUGUUUACUGCUACAACUCCCGAAUUAACUAAUUGUUUUACCCAUGUAUCUCUCCAUGUGAUUGCUCACAUAUUAUGUAGUUUUGUGUAAGGGUUUUGCUUCACUGCUCCCUUCCCUCUAUUCAAACUUUGGCUUCUUUCUUGGACUGACUUGCCCCCUUAAUUUUGGUGGUAGAUUGGGUGGAGGAGGACAGCGAAGUACACCUUAUCCUAAUUUCACCCUACUAACAAGGUUUUGUGAAACUAAGAAUUGUCUUAUCAAGUUGACAGUUGUUAUUUAUCGUUGUUAUAUAAAAUGUAUUGGAGAUAU